CCUACGGGAGGCAGCAGUGAGGAAUAUUGGUCAAUGGACGAGAGUCUGAACCAGCCAAGUAGCGUGAAGGAUGACUGCCCUAUGGGUUGUAAACUUCUUUUAUAAAGGAAUAAAACGAGGCACGUGUGCCUUUUUGCAUGUACUUUAUGAAUAAGGAUCGGCUAACUCCGUGCCAGCAGCCGCGGUAAUACGGAGGAUCCGAGCGUUAUCCGGAUUUAUUGGGUUUAAAGGGAGCGUAGAUGGGUUGUUAAGUCAGUUGUGAAAGUUUGCGGCUCAACCGUAAAAUUGCAAUUGAUCCUGGCAGUCGUGAGUACAGUUGAGGUAGGCGGAAUUCGUGGUGUAGCGGUGAAAUGCUUAGAUAUCACGAAGAACCCCGAUUGCGAAGGCAGCUUACUAAACUGUGACUGACAUUGAUGCUCGAAAGUGUGGGUAUCAAACAGGAUUAGAUACCCCGGUAGUC
rnacentral:rRNA from 1 species